rnacentral:rRNA from 1 species
GAUGAACGCUGGCGGCGUGCCUAAUACAUGCAAGUCGAGCGGACGGACGAGAAUCUCUCUUCUCUUCUGUUAGGGGCGGACGGGUGAGUCACACGUGGCUAACCUACCUAUAAGACUGGGAUCACUUCGGGAAACCGGAGCCAAUACCGGAUAAUAUUUUGAACCGCAUGGUUCAUCAGUGAUAGACGGUCUUGCUGUCCCUUAUAGAUGGUUCCGCGCUGCAUUGGCUAGUUGGUAAGGUACGGCCUACCAAGGCAACGAUGCAUAGCCGGCCUGAGAGGGUGAUCAGCCACACUGGAACUGAGACACGGUCCAGACUCCUACGGGAGGCAGCAGUAGGGAAUCUUCCGCAAUGGGCGAAAGCCUGACGGAGCAACGCCGCGUGAGUGAAGAAGGUCUUCGGAUCGUAAAACUCUGUUAGUAGGGAAGAACAUAUGUAUGAGAAAAUGUGCACAUCUUGACGGUACCUAAACAGAAAGCCACGGCUAACUACGUG